CUUUAUAUAUUUUUGUACAAAAUAUAUUUUAUUAUUGUUUUUAAUUUAAUUUAGUGAAUCGGUAAAAAGAAAAACUAACGGCCCAAUUGUUUUCUUUUUUUGGUGCAGAAGUCAAAUCCACCACCGUCAUCAGGUGGCAAUUCCAUUUCCAAUCUUCAUCGUGAUCAUCAUCCCCGUCAGCGACAAUCACCAGAUCGAUCUAUGCAAGAGGCGGAGCCACGGCGACCUCGCAAACUGAAA
rnacentral:lncRNA from 1 species